rnacentral:rRNA from 1 species
UACGUAGGGCGCAAGCGUUGUCCGGAUUUAUUGGGCGUAAAGAGCUCGUAGGCGGUUUGUCGCGUCUGCUGUGAAAACCUGGGGCUUAACUCCGGGCCUGCAGUGGGUACGGGCAGACUAGAGUGCGGUAGGGGAGACUGGAAUUCCUGGUGUAGCGGUGAAAUGCGCAGAUAUCAGGAGGAACACCGGUGGCGAAGGCGGGUCUCUGGGCCGUAACUGACGCUGAGGAGCGAAAGCGUGGGUAGCGAACAGGAUUAGAUACCCUGGUAGUCCACGCCGUAAACGUUGGGCGCUAGGUGUGGGGCUCAUUCCACGAGUUCCGUGCCGCAGCAAACGCAUUAAGCGCCCCGCCUGGGGAGUACGGCCGCAAGGCUAAA